GAGUCUCUACCUUCUGAGGAACUUUCAUGCCAUUUAUUUGGUGUGGUUGGAAAUCAGGACUGUUACUUUGAAAAAAUUAGAGUGUUUAAAGCAGGCUAACGUCUGAAUACAUUAGCAUGGAAUAAUGAAAUAGGACGGAUUGAUUCUAUUUCGUUGGUUUCUAGGGUCACCGUAAUGAUUAAUAGGGAUAGUUGGGGGCAUUAGUAUUCAAUUGUCAGAGGUGAAAUUCUUGGAUUUAUUGAAGACUAACUACUGCGAAAGCAUUUGCCAAGGAUGUUUUCAUUAAUCAAGAACGAAAGUUAGGGGAUCGAAGACGAUCAGAUACCGUCGUAGUCUUAACCAUAAACUAUGCCGACUAGGGAUCGGUCGCAGUUAAUUUUAUAAUGACGUGUUCGGCACCUUACG
rnacentral:rRNA from 1 species